AAAGUACUCCCUCCGUCCCACAAUUCUUGUCUUAGAUUUGUCUAGAUACGAAUGUAUCAAGUCACAUUUUAUUAUUAGAUACAUCCGUAUCUAGACAAAUCUAAGACAAGAAAUUUGGAACAGAGGGAGUAGUUG
rnacentral:pre_miRNA from 1 species